rnacentral:piRNA from 1 species
UAGGCUAAACCAGAAGAAGGUGCUAAG